rnacentral:rRNA from 1 species
GACGAACGCUGGCGGCGUGCUUAACACAUGCAAGUCGAACGGAAAGGCCCUGCUUUUGUGGGGUGCUCGAGUGGCGAACGGGUGAGUAACACGUGAGUAACCUGCCCUUGACUUUGGGAUAACUUCAGGAAACUGGGGCUAAUACCGGAUAGGAGCUCCUGCUGCAUGGUGGGGGUUGGAAAGUUUCGGCGGUUGGGGAUGGACUCGCGGCUUAUCAGCUUGUUGGUGGGGUAGUCGCUUACCAAGGCUGUCACGGGUAGCCGGCCUGAGGGGGUGACCGGAAAGGUGGGGAAGGGAACACGGCCCAGUUGCCGGGGGGGGGGCGAUGUGGGGAAAAUGCGAGGGAGGGCGGAAGCUGGUGGGACCACAGCCGGGCGGGGGGGAAAGGCGUGCGGGUGAUAAGGCGAUGGCGCGUGUGACAGAGCGGAGGUGGCAGUAAUGGCAAAAGAAGCACGGGCUAGCCACAG